rnacentral:rRNA from 1 species
AUUGAACGCUGGCGGCAGGCCUAACACAUGCAAGUCGAACGCGUGGCGGACGGGUGAGUAGUGUCUGGGAAACUGUCUGAUGGCGGGGGAUAACUACUGGAAACGGUAGCUAAUACCGCAUACCAUCAGAUGUGCCCAGAGGGGAUUAGCUAGUUGGUGGGGUAACGGCUCACAAAGGCAACGAUCCCUAGCUGGUCUGAGAGGGUGAACAGCCACACUGGAACUGAGACACGGUCCAGACUCCUACGGGAGGCAGCAGUGGGGAAUAUUGCACAAUGGGCGCAAGCCUGAUGCAGCCAUGCCGCGUGUAUGAAGAAGGCCUUCGGGUUGUAAAGUACUUUCAGCGGGGAGGCGUUACCCGCAGAGGAAGCACCGGCUAACUCCGUGCCAGCAGCCGCGGUAAUAC